rnacentral:rRNA from 1 species
UAAGACGAACCGUGCGAACGUUGUUCGGAAUCACUGGGCUUAAAGGGCGCGUAGGCGGCUUGUCAAGUCGGGGGUGAAAUCCGGCAGCUUAACUGUCGAAGUGCCUUCGAUACUGGCAAGCUCGAGGGAGGUAGGGGUCUGUGGAACUUCUGGUGGAGCGGUGAAAUGCGUUGAUAUCAGAAGGAACGCCGGUGGCGAAAGCGACGGACUGGAUCUCUUCUGACGCUGAGGCGCGAAAGCUAGGGGAGCAAACGGGAUUAGAUACCCCGGUAGUCCUAGCCCUAAACGAUGGGUACUAGGUUGUGGACUAACAUGGGUUCACAGCCGAAGCAAAAGUUUUAAGUACCCCGCCUGGGGAGUAUGGUCGCAAGGCUG